UCUUGAUUUCUACCGGAUACAUAAUACUUAUCCAGUGCGCGUAUCGCUUCAAAAAUAGGCAGGUAAAAGUUUCUUCCGGAAGUGUGGUAUAGCGUGAAUUUACGAUUUCACCGGCAGGCUGUGUGGUGUGAUGAAUUACAAGGAGUCUAGGAAACCGGCAAAACCUCCGAAAGGCGCUCAAGGAAGGGAAAAGAUGAAGCAGAUAUUGGCCGAAGCUGAAUUCAAUUUUUUGAUUAAUUCUAUGCUAUUUCAAGCGGGACUUAUUUUAUCCUUGCCCAGAAGUGAAAAAACAGAAACUACAGUGUAAUACACUCAUGCGUCCUUGAUUAUAACAAUAUAUGUUCGGUUCGAUGACAACA